UAAUACGUAGGGUGCGAACGUUGUUCGGAAUCACUGGGCAUAAAGAGCGCGUAGGCGGUCUGAUAAGUCCUGUGUGAAAGCCCCCGGCUUAACCGGGGAAUUGCACUGGAUACUGUCGGGCUAGAGUACAGGAGGGGAGAGCGGAAUUCCUGGUGGAGCGGUGAAAUGCGUAGAUAUCAGGAGGAACGCCGGCGGCGAAAGCGGCUCUCUGGUCUGUUACUGACGCUGAGGCGCGAAAGCUAGGGGAGCAAACGGGAUUAGAUACCCCGGUAGUCCUAGCCCUAAACGAUGGGUACUAAGUAGAGGAAACUCCGAUGUUUUCUCUGCCGGAGCUAAUGUAUUAAGUACCCCGCCUGGGGAGUAUGGUCGCAAGGCUA
rnacentral:rRNA from 1 species